rnacentral:rRNA from 1 species
AAUUUACCCAGUGGUACGGAAUAACUCAGGGAAACUUGUGCUAAUACCGUAUAAGCCCUUCGGGGGAAAGAUUUAUCGCCAUUGGAUGAGCCCGCGUUAGAUUAGUUUGUUGGUGGGGUAAUGGCCUACCAAGACUACGAUCUAUAGCUGGUCUGAGAGGAUGAUCAGCCACACUGGGACUGAGACACGGCCCAGACUCCUACGGGAGGCAGCAGUGGGGAAUAUUGGACAAUGGGGGCGAACCCUGAUCCAGCAAUGCCGCGUGUGUGAAGAAGGCCUGCGGGUUGUAAAGCACUUUCACCUGCGAAGAUGAUGACGGUAGCAGGAGAAGAAGCCCCGGCUAACUCCGUG